CAGUCGUGACCGAGAGGCUCAGCCGGCUCUGCCGGUGUAUUCCCCUCGGUCGGGUCAACAUCAGUUUUGUCCGGUGGAUAAGGGCGUUAGGAAGGUAGCUCCCACGGGAGUGUUAUAGCCUGACGUCGCAUACACUGGGUGAGACUGAGGAAUGCAGCUCGCCUUUACAGGCCGGGGUUCGCCCACGUCCGAGCUUAGGAUGUUGACAUAAUGGCUUUAAACGACCCGUCUUGAAACACGGACC
rnacentral:rRNA from 1 species